rnacentral:rRNA from 3 species
UGUCUGGCGGCCGUAGCGCGGUGGUCCCACCUGACCCCAUGCCGAACUCAGAAGUGAAACGCCGUAGCGCCGAUGGUAGUGUGGGGUCUCCCCAUGCGAGAGUAGGGAACUGCCAGACAU